UACGAACCGUGCGAACGUUAUUCGGAAUCACUGGGCUUAAAGCGCGUGUAGGCGGGCCGCCACGUCCGAGGCUGAAAGCCCCCGGCUCAACCGGGGAAGCGGCGCGGAUACGGGCGGCCUGGAGGGGCGUAGGGGGAGCUGGAACUUCCGGUGGAGCGGUGAAAUGCGUUGAGAUCGGAAGGAACGCCCGCGGCGAAAGCGAGCUCCUGGACGCCAGCUGACGCUGAGACGCGAAAGCCAGGGGAGCGAACGGG
rnacentral:rRNA from 1 species